CCGAUUUGUUUCAGAUGGUCCAAUACAGUUGGAAUCGAAACAUCAAACCUUGAUGCUAACUCACACGUAGCUUGAGAUGUAGCUGCUUCCACUACAGUUUCCAGCUCAUCAUUAUCCACCUUGGUCUCAGGUCUAACACGGGGAUGAUUUUCAAGAGUGAAGUCACCAGACUGGAACUUCUCAAACCAUCGACGUACAGUGCACCCAUUCGCUACACCUUCA